GUAGGUGAACCUGCGGAAGGAUCAUUAAUAGUUUAGGGUACUGACCCAGUGCCCAAACUUCAACCCUUUGACUUAAUUAAUUUGUUUCUUUGCCGGUUUCGGCUGGCAGAAGUUUUCUCAAACUCAUUAGAAACUUGUCUUCUGAAAUUUUAAAUAAUAAUAAUUAAAACUUUCAACAACGGAUCUCUUGGUUCUGGCAUCGAUGAAGAACGCAGCAUCUGACUGACUCAGGUCUGUAUUAUCUCGUAUG
rnacentral:misc_RNA from 1 species